CACAACCAUGUAUUUUUCUUUGUCUCACGGGCCUCCAAAAUUCUAGCAGGUGUUAUACGAAACAAGCUGCUGCGAUAAAGAAGCUGACCUCGCAGUCGAAGGCAAGAUCGAUGUGGAUAUUUCCUUUGGGAACAUGGAGCUGCCCAUAACAAAGUGGGUGGAAUCACUCGCCUCAAGGAAACAAUACGAGGAAGCACUAACCUUGGGAUACAAAAUAUUGGCUUUCACACAUAAUGCUAGGUUGCACAGGAGGGUCCAGGGAGAUGUGGUCCAUUAGACAAGAGAUGCAUAGUCAGCCUCACCAACAAUUGGGAAUGGCACCAUGGCUACUGUAUUUGGAAUAGUUAACAAAAAAUUCAGUAACAUGUUAGGAGUUAGAACACAAACAAACCUAAUAACCUACCCUAUAGUCCAACCUGGUCUCAAGUUUGACAAUGCAGUUUUGGCUUUGCAACAUGUGUUAUAAGGCAUCACCUGGAACAAAAGAAAAGGUUGAUCUGUCAAGAAAAGGUUGCUUACUUUGGCGACUAUUAGUUUAACAUCAUAACUGGACUGCAUGUCUAUAAAAAGUAAACUACUAAUAUGUCUACAAUAGCAAAUUUCUGGAUGUGAUUCUAAUCAUCAAAUAUGUAGGUCAUAUUAAUCGAUCAAGUUUGACGAAUCAUUCAUGUUUUACCAUCUAUAAUUAGCUUUUGAAAUAGCAAAAUCAGGUUGGGAGACUACCGAGGUGGCUGUAGCACUUGAGUUGACGACGCCUCCUCGCCUCCAGAUGCCAUAGAUGGUUGAGACCUACUGAAAAAAAGUGUUGGCACACAUGCAAACGUACAAGGACAUAGAAGCAAUAACAUACAAGCCAACCCCAGGCCAAGGCUUGAGCAGAAUGGCUAAACCAUAGUGAGCAGAAUAACUUUGGCGUUCAACAAUAUAUAUCACAUUCCUGAUGUGCUGAAUUGAUCUAGCUCUGGCCAUCACUCUGUUUCAGAGAGUGAGUUUCUUGUACUUGCUAACAUGUCCUUGACCUGGGAUUAGCAGUACAAAAAUCAUCUGUGAUAGUAAAGAGAUGAACUUUGUGACCUGCAUUACGUAUAUAAGCAUACCAGCCUUGAACAUAGGUCCAAUGGAAGUUGCUACAUUUUCGAUGCUUAUAUACAGAUGGAACCUUUUAUAUUCAAUGCUUGCUACAAUGUUGCGAUUCUUUGUUUGCUCUGGCAGGUUUUGCAACAACCGGCAGAGGAAGAGAAUGAUCCAUUGAAGAUUCAUGCAAGGUGUAGUUAAGUUUCUUUACUUGAUUCUGGUUGCUUCUUUGUUUUAGGGUCAUGUUUAGCAAGGAGAAGAUCACCAAGAUGAAGAAAGACGUGAUCAGCAUGAAUAAAUCUCAUUGAGCGAUCAUGGAUUACUAGGCAGUGGUAGAAGCUUGAAAAAGCCGACCAUGUCGCUGGUUCCUCUCCUUUUAUUUCUGUAUGUACUUCAUUUGCAACUUUAUGGAUCAAGAUAGUCUGGAUAAGCUUUAUAUGCAGCUACACAGUGUUAUACUGUCUUUAGAAGCAUAGAAUUCUCCAUAUGCGAUUCUAAUUUUAUCAUGUACUGGAGCUCUUCCGCCUUCCAUUUCAAACAAUGGAAAUCACAAUUUAUGCAUCUUUUCUCUUUUUCACUAAACCUAUCCCCUGGAAA